UGCAAUAUUAAAUCAGCUUUCUAUUUUAUUGAACAGGCGAUGACUGGCUUCUGAGUGAGAACUCUUAAGAGUGUGUUCGUUGAAGGUAGGGUGUUCAGAGAGUACUGAAGAUAAAAAAUCACCACAAAUACUUCAUGUACGAAUAAGGAGUUGAUUAAAGUGUGGUAUAUACACACAAUGCAAUAUUAUUCAGCCACGAAAAGGAAGGAAGUAUUUACACAUGCUACACUGUGGAUCAACCUCGAAAACAUUACGCUAAGUGAAAGAAGCCAGUCACAAAAGGUCACCUACUGUAUGAUUCCGUCUAUGUGAAAUAGCCAGAAUAGGUAAAUCUACAGAAACAGAAAGCAGAUUGGUGGUUGCCAGGGGUGAGGGUGUGGGGGUGGUAAAUGGGGAGUAACUGUGUAAGGGGUUUAGGGUUUUCUUUUGGGAUGAUAAAAAUGUUUUAGAACUAGAUGGAGGUGAUGGUUGCAUAGCAUUAUGAAUGUACUAAAUAUCACUGAAUCACUGACUUUACAAUGGUUAAUUUUAUGUUAUGUGCAUUUCAUCUCAGUUGAAAAGAUACUUCGGGGGAAAAAAGUACAAAAAAAAGACACCUGGAGCCAGCCCCGGUGGCCUAGUGGCUAAGUUCGGCACACUUCGCUUCUGCCGCCUGGGUUUGGUUCCCAGGCACAGACCUAUACGAUGUCAGUGACCAUGCUGUAGCGGCCACUCACAUAUAAAAAGAGGAAGAUUGGCAACAGAUGUUAGCGCAGGGCAAAUCUUCCUCAGCAAACAGAGGAAGAUUGGCAAUAAAUGUCAGCUCAGGGCCAAGCCUCCUCAGCAAAGUAAAACAGAACAAAGCAACACGAAACACCUGAGAAAGUUGACUUUUUAGGAAGCCUUCCUGACUAUAUAGUCUGGUCCUUUGGUGAGUUUUGUGAAGAAAGGCUCCCCUCUUCCCUACGUUUUUUUCUGCCUUUGUAGCCCCAUCUAACAUUUUGGUUUUCUGUACCCCCAAGAGUACUCAAGUUCUGUUUGAGUCACUUCUUUCAUUCAUUCACAAACUCAUUCAUCCACUUGGUGUCAAGGAGAAUGAUAAUUAAUGUGAUCCAAGACAGAGAACAGCAAGCUGAUCCUGCUGUGUAACUUUGACAGGCAUGUUAACCUCUCUGGUCUUAGGAAGACAUCAACUAGGUUACUUCUCAGGACUCUCAGUUUUAAAGUUCUAUAUUUAAGGAAUGAGAAAUGCAUUAUUAGGUUUCCUUUAAAUAUUCUACCAGCUAAUUUCUCCAAUUCUUUUACUUCGAAUUCAUUUAUCAAACUUAGUUAGACAGACAGAAAAAAAUACAUUACCCUUUGAAUUAGCCUGCUCUUUUUCAUCAGACCUCAAUAAUGAGGAGAAAAUUUAUCUGCAUGUCUGUGGCAAAACUUCUUUGACCAUGGGAAAGCUUUCCUCAUAUUUUUUAAGAUAAAAAUGCCAAAAACAUGUAACUGAUAUACUUUUAACAUUUGAAAAGCAUCAAAAAUGAUUUUUAUCUUUAAUUAUAAAGUGUAACAGAAAAAUAGACACUGCAAUAACUUAAUAGCCCAUCAAAACACUAUCUUCAAGGGUCAUUUAGCAUUUCCAUGAUAAAUUGCUAUUUUUAGAAGCUUAUGUAACCAAACAAAGAAUGUGUUCUUGGCUAUGGCCACGAAGACAAGUUAUUAUCGUGGGAGGGACAAAGGAAUCUGAGAGGCUCAUGAGAGACGGAGCCAGUUGUAGAGGACAUUUCAUAGAGUGCCCUUUCUCUUUAGUCUCCAUUUUCUGCGAUCAGGGUGAUGCAGUGCAUUUCAGUGCCAUUCUCACUUUUGAAGUGCUCUUUCAUCAUUAGCUAAUAAAUACUCAUCAAUGAAUUUUCCUCCUCGUCUUGGAAGUUGGAGGAAAAAGAAAGAUAAUCGCUUUCUAUCUUGUAAGUAUUACUCCCCUUGGGGCUUCCCCUCUUGUGCUUCUAGUAGAAACAUAAGAAAUAAAUUAUACCUACUCAUUUGAAAGGACCGAAGGGUACCAUUCCUUCCAUAUAGAGCACCUGGAAAUUUGCAUCAAAUAUUAAUGAUCUUCAGUAACUACCCAACUGUAGUAGCAGAAGGAAGGUCUGUCUUCCAUUACCAAGCUCUAUACUGUUUAGUGUCAUCUUGAGGAAGGAUGCCUUGGGGGAGUCUUCAUCAGGGAGCUGAGUAUGGUAGAGUUGGGCUGGGAAGAAUUGGUGUCUGUCUGAGCAGGAGCUCCCAAUGUACUUCGUAUCUCUAAUGUCCAGGGUCAAAAACUAAGGGUUUUGGAAUUUUCUAUUCUUUUGUAUUAUCCACACUUCUCCCCCAUGUCAUCUUAGUUCACUUAGACUUGGCUGUGAAUUUCACAGUUUCUGGUUGGUGAAUUGCACUACGCAUGCUUAAAGAUGCCCCUAGACUGUUCUAGCUGUGGAUGGGUUUUGAAGAAGACAAUCUGAUUUAUAGCAUAAGUAAUGUCUUACUGGGUGUCUGCUGCCUUGUCGUUGGUAGUAGUGUUAUCCAAUAGACAUAUAACGCAGACCACAAAUAUGAGCCGUAUAUGUAAUUUUAAAUUUUAUGGUAACCAUAUUAAAAAAGUAAAAAUAAACAGAUGAAAUUAAUAUAUUUUAUUUAACCUAAUAUAUCCAAAAUAUCCGAAAUAUUAUCACUUCAAUGUAUAAUCAGUAUGAGAAGUGUUAAUGAGAUAUUACACAUUUUUUUCACCAAAUCGAUGAAUUUUGAUGUGUAUUUUACACUUACAACACAUCUCAGUUUGGACUAGCCACAUUUUUAUUAUCAACAACCACAUUUCAUAUGCCUGGUGGCCACUGUAUUGGACAGGGCAGGUUUAUAGUUAUGGAUAGACAAUAUUUUAACAGAAAUUUUUAAAUUAAAAAGCAUUCUGAAUUAUUUACCACAAAGUGAAAUCCUGAUGUAAAUUACUGUAAGUUUUUUCUUCAAAGCUUUCUCUUUAUCAAGUAAAUUACCUCUUGUUUUUUCGGGAAUGAGGGGAAAUUAGAGGGUUCUAGCAUUUGCCAGCAGGGAAAGGCUUACUAUAUGUUUUCUCAAACCUACAAUUCGCUCGGGUGGUUAGCGUUGGUACUGGAAUUAACCACCGUAGUGUGAAUGAAUUACAAUCCCUCCCUCCCCAUUUUGCUUUAAGUCCUGCUGUACCUUGAGCUUGGAUCGAACUAAAAACCAGGAAAUGAUGUGACUGUUGAUGUCAGAUAGCAGUUAGGAUUUGACCGUGUUUCUUUGAGCUUAAUCCUAUAGUAGCUGCCCUUUAAGUGGUUUCCACAUACUCUUACUUUUUAUUGCCAUCAUCCUCUGAAAUAAUCUUUUGUGUUUAUUUUUAUGUGGUUGUGUUCCCAUGAAUAAAAAGGAUCCUUCUUAUACUUGUAGCUUCUCACCUCAGCUCAACUGACAGAAUUCUAAUGGGCCACAGCAGCAACCUAAGGACAUAGAGGCGCCAACGUGGCCACAAUGAACUCCCUUCUUGGGCUAAAAACCUCAUUUUUUUGGAGAACAGUAUCACAAAUAUUUGGUCAGUCUGUCAUUCCAUCAACUGGAACUUUAUUCCUUGGCGCUUCCACACAUUUACAGGGGAAUGAUCAUUAAUGUUGGUAAUUAUUUAUCUUUGGACAUCAACCAUGAGCAAAGCACUGUGGUAGGUGCUGUGAGAGAUAUGAAAAGGAAACAUCAUCCUCUCUGCCCCCAAGGUACUUAGCCUGAUGAUGCCGGUAAGCAUGAUACAUAAGAGUCCCAGUCAAGGUUCUAAAGGUUUGAGCAGAAGUAUCAGCAGGGUGCUCAGAUGUCCCUGAGGUCCUCUAAGAUAUAGGGAGCAAAUAUUUGCCAUGGCCUGUUUCGAGCCAGGAGAUUUACUAGAUGCCAGUGACAAUUAAGAGGAAGACAUAGUUUCUCUUCCUGAGGAUCCCCUAAUCUACUGUGAGAUGUGGGAAACACAACCACCUGCAGAGCCGUAUGAGAUAUGAUAUGAUAGAGAAAUAGAACAACUGAAACACAGACGAAGGAGAGACCAAGACCUCCAGUCCCAGUUGGGGUCAUAUCUUCAGAGGCAAUGGUGAUGGGGCUGAUUUUCAAAGCAGAAGUUCAGUGACAGGAAGAGGAGAGGAAAGCAGCCUGGUGAGAAAGGGGCAGGAACGAAAGCAAAGGUGGUCCUAGGGCUGGUGAGCCUUGGAGAAAAGUUGUAUCUGAGCAAGUUGCAUUCUCCCCAAAUCAUGUGAUUCUGUCUUAGGAUACUUGAUUCAAAUUAUGCCUGUGUAUGUUCUCUAGAGUUCAUGGAUGUUUAAAAAAUUAUUGUAAGUUACUAAAAAUGGAUAAUUUAAUUUUCGCUAUCAUUUAAAAACUCCCACAUCAAUGGCUAUUUUUGUUUCAUCAUUAUAAUAGAGAGGUGCCAUGUCAUGAUGGUUAAGAGCUGACUCUGGAAGCCAGAUUCAAAUCUCAACUCUGCCACUUAAAGCUCUGUGAUAGUUAGCACCUCUGUACUUCAGUUUCCUCAUCUGGAAAAUGGAAAGUAAUAAUAGCAUUUACCUAUGUUUAGUAGGUCAUUUUUAGUAAUAAAAUGAGUUAAGGUUUGGGAAGGGCAUGAAAUAGUGUCUUGUUCAUGGUAAGUAUCCUAAAUGAUUGUUAAAUCAAAUGAAUGCAAUACACAAACUUCUAGAGGCUUGCAAUGGCAAACAGCUUUCUGUGUGACUGGCAUGUGAUCAGGGCAGUGCUGAUUGUUUUUUUUGAGACAGUGAAUUUGCUUGUUGUCUAACUGGUCUGAAAUCAGUCCCUGAUAUACACUGACAUGAAUGCAGAUUGCAGUAGACACCCUUCUAAUAGGAUUGUAUGAGCUUUCUAUUUUAUUUUAGUACAUGCUAAAAACACUUUUAAUUGUUCUAAAUAUCUAAAUUAUCCACUUCAAAGAAUUUGCAUUUGAAAUAUCCAGAAAAGCAAGUCUCUUCUAAGAGAAUGUGUGAGGCUAUGUGUACAUCAACAUUGGAUCGUAUAUGAAAAUAGCACUUUUGUAGGUAAAGGUAACGUUGUCCCAUUGCAAUGAGUGAUUGUUUUGCAUUUAUGUAAAAAUUGCUUAUUAAGAAAAAAUCCAAACAGGCAUAAAAGUAAAGAGAAUAAUAUAGUGGCCGCUCACAUAUCCAUCAUUUAGAUUUUAACUAUUCUUUGGUUAAAGUAUUUUAAAGCAAAUUCCGGAAAUCAUGGCAUUUCAAUCCCUAAAUAUUCGAUUAGAAAUUUAGAGGUAUAUUUUCUUAUAUAGCCACAAUGCUACCCCACCUAACAGUAACCUGUCUUUGAUAUAUCCCAUCCAUAUUCAAACUUCCCUAUUUGCCGUCAAAUGGCUUUUUCAGUUAGUUUGCUUGAAUCAGGAUAAAAACAAGACCUACACAGUGCAUUUAGUUAUCAAGACUUCUUUUAAUCUAGGGUGGUCUGUGUCCCUAUGAGAGUUUGAGAGGGUUUUAUAGUGUGAUGGGCUCAAGGUCUGAGACCUAGGGAAGCCCUGUACAGGCCAGGUGUUGGGCUGUUACCUAAUUUGCCUCAGGUAGAAAAACUUUUGCCAACAAAGUUAAAUCAUAAUUAUCAUUCAACAAGUUUUCAUGUCCAUUAUAUGUAUUCUUGGCACUGGGCGAGGCACUGAAGGUCCAGAAAGACAUGAGACACGAUCCCUGGGCUCAGAAAUCAGGCAGAGAGUGUCUGCUUUUUGACCACGAAAGUUUCUGCUGCAUGACCCACCAGAGGAUGUGAUGUUGCAGUAGAGGGAGGAGUGUGGCUGUCUCCAGGGAACCAGUCAAAGUGCAAUGCUGCAGAGUCCUGCUUAUGGCUUUUCUUUACAGUGUUGGAAUACACCAGACAACUGAGACUGCUGGCAAUUUUAAAGCCCAGUCAGAAAGGUGCCUAGUGAUUAGAGACAGGAGAUUCUGCCCUCCAUGCUAACACCCUCUCCCUUAGGGACGUACUGUCUGAUGUCAUAUUCCUUGGUCAGUAUAAAUUGUGUCAAGCCUCCAUAAAUAUGCCAAGUACUAGAUAUCAUUUGAAAAAUGGUUAAUGUCUCCCAGGAAGUAGCAUUCUAAAGGAAAAUAUAUACAAAAAAAUUUUUCCCCUUAUAUUUUCUUUAAUUAUGUCUUCUUCCUAAUUUGGAAGGAAUUCUUGAAAGUGAUGAGUUUACAGGGAAGAAAGGAGAAAGUCUUUUUUCUCAGGAAUAUGUGUAUUAGGGAGACAAAUGCCAAAGCUGGACCAAAACAGCACGGAGAGAAGCCUGGGGGGCAGGAAGGGCUCUGGACUGAGAAAUGGAAAGCCCUGGAGCUGAAGUCCUCGCUCUUCACUUACAGUUAUUUUAAAUUGAGCAAGUCACCAAACUUGCUUAAAAUCAGUUUUCCUUUCUAUAAAAUAACAAUGCCUUUUUCAUACGGCCUGUAAUGAAGAUGAAAUAAAAGAUGAUAAUUUCAAAACUUUCUAGACUUUGCAGCCCCCUUACAAAUAGGAAAGGAGUAUUAUUAUUACGGCCAUUAGGAGGAGGAAACCUGUCUGAAUUCUUUGGAAGAACAAAUAUUUACGAGAGUACUGUGUGGAUCAGAAGAUGGUGAGCCAAGGUCCUUGGAACUCAGAAUGAAGAAUGGUUCAAGACUAUUUAUUUAUUUAUUUCCAGAAUAAAGAAUGAAGUAUUUUUAAAAAUGAUGUAACUUUGUCUCAAUCUCUAUCAGUGUAGUAGCAAGAAUAAAAUUAACCUGACGUGUUGAGUAGGCUAAAUUCAUUCCGUGGCAGUGUUAAUGAGGAAUGCCUCUGCUUCAGUAUAAAAUAGAGUUAUAAUAAUGAAAAAUUGGCUUAUUGAGUACAGGUAUACACUACUGGGUCUUCUAUAAAGUUGAGAAGUCAGUGAACUUGUAGCUAUAUAGUGUAUUGAUUAUUUGCACAGAAAUUAUGACUUAAAUGCUAGUGGGAGAAAGAAAGGGGAGAUUUGACUAUUUGACCUUCAUACAACUGGGAGUCAGAAAACUUCAAGAGGGCGUGACAGGGAGACGGAUUUCAGAACCAGAGGAAGGUGUGAAAAGUGUAAAUACAACAGUCAAAUAUCCUCUGGGUGCCUUAAAACUAAGCUGGGGGACAAUUUUGUUUUUGUUAGUAUUCUGGGUGCUCAAUCUGUGGUAAUUACAAUAUAUGGCAAUGUAAAACUUGCAUUGAUGCCAGCCCCCUUCGAUGUUCUAGGUAUUCUUGGAUGGUCAUUAAGUAAACCAAGCAUAUGCUGGUAUGUUCAGCUGAGCCCUUCUAGAAUUUCCAACAGAAAGCCAUUGAAUUAGGUGAUGAAGGUGGAAGGUAAAGAAGUAUCAAAUAAGAGGAGUGGUGAAAUUCAGAGUAACAAGGAUUGCUUGUAUAACAGCACAUAAGAUGCCUUUAUUUUAAUGGUGUAUCUAAACUAUAGGAUGAUUUAAACACUUGGCAUGUUAUGACUACAUCACUCUCCACCACGAAAUUACCAUUUCUAUUUCUUUAGUAUCAUCUAUUUUUGUAUCAUACAUUUUAUUUAUUGAGCACCUACUAUUCGGGAGCACAGUGUCAGGUGUAUGUGAGGGAACAGUCUUCAUUCGUCAAUGGCAGAGUGAGAUCAAGCAUGAUUAAAAACUCAACAGUAACCAGGGGUGGAUAAUUACUAAUGCAUUAGUGGCAAGUGCCAUUUCAGACGAAUGGGAAGAGGAAUGACGCAGAUAGUUUUUGCUCUGUCUCUUUUCUGGCAAUAUGAUUGUCACAUACUCAGGCCUUGCAAGGAUUCCAAGUUGUAAGUAUUGAGGGUAUCUAGUGAAUUAGAGACGUUAAUCAGUUAGCUGUUCCAUCCUGUGUCUCUAGGACUUGGACACUCUCUUUAGAUCUCAUUGCCAGACAUGUAAAAAACUGCCCUAAGACAUGAUCCUAAGACUUCCUCAAUAGAAUAUGAUCCCUAUGAGGGCAGUACUGGGGUCUAUCUUAGUCGCAACUGCAUCUCCAGUCCCUCACAUUGUGUCUGAAACAGAGUGGGAAUUCGGUAAAUAAAAAACUUUAUAUUUGUUGGAGAAAGAUCUUCCCUGAAACAGAAAAUUCCUUUGAAGCUUAAAUGUAUAUCACAAAGCUCUGAGGCCAUUAGAUGAAGUCUGAAAAAGAAAUGAGCACUUUUAGAAUCACUACAUUUCUUCCGAUGGACAGUAUAUCCCUCCAUCACAAGGAGCACCCAUACACAUAUGCCUACGCCCGUGCAUACCUACGUAGACUCACGUCUGCCCACUUUUUGGUCCUCUGAGCUUUUUAAUCUAGUUUAGAAAAAGAAAGGAAAAUGACAUGAAUUGAAAGUUGUACACUGUAGGCUUUAGACCUUAAAAGACAGUAUAUCAUCAGAGAAAUAAAUCCUUUCUUCUGAGACUGCCUGUAAUUUUUUUUGGCGAGUUCUCACUCUCCUUUUGCAACUUUCCCUCUUCCUUAGAGGAUUCUUUAAGUUCUAUCCAUCAUCUCAUUUACUGAAAUGUACCUCAUUUGGGAAUGAGAACAUUUUGGCAUAGCUGAGAGCUUUUAAUGGAAAUAUGAGAGAAGACAUUUCUGACAUAUAUAAUACCUUCAAUAUGUUGCCAUAUAUUGCACCAUCUCUGAUGCGUUACCCGAGAUGCAUAACGACAGAUGGGCCGAGGAACGAGAAGGAACACUCCCCAAGUGGGGAUUUCUUUAGAAACCAAAACUCCUUCCAAGGUGCUUUGAGCUAUUCUUAGCAAUUGGGGUUCAACACAUUCACCCCCAACAGAAGCAAAUGUCUGCCAAGAGGCUGCCUGUGGGAGCUUUGUUGCCUAGCAUUUUUCUCCAAACAAGAGUCAAGCCAGGCAGCGUAGUCUUAGACUCAGGGAAACCUAGAGCCAGAGCAUUGAGUCCCUGUUUUCAGGUGUGUGACUGUGGUCAAGUUACCUGACUUCUUCGAACCUAUGAUUCUUCAAUCAUGUAAUGGGGCUGAGAAGCAGUUUCUGUUCCAAACUCUGUAAUAAGCUAUGAGAAUUUUUUACAUAGCGGUGGAGAUUAUGAAAUUUUCAGUGUUCCUUACAGUUCUUUUAUGUAUCUGGAGUGGAAAUAUUUAGGAGGGAUGUUUCUUUUCCUUUUUUGUUUCACCCAAACCUAAUCUAAUCACUCGAUGACUCAAAUUUUUCCUCGAAUGCAAACCACACAUUCCAGGAUAAUGCAAAAUUUCAUUUUGGGGUGAGAGGAGUGAGCAAUAAUGUGAUUUGACCAUGUAUUAUGGGGUUAAGAAAAUUUAAAAACCAUCUCAAUGAAGAUACAGUUUUGGUAUCAAUAGCUGUACAGUCAUUAGCAAUGUUUUACUGUAUAGCCACUCUAAGAGCAUCUUUCUCCUUCUCUUAUUUUCUUUUUCUUUUUCGUACCUUGUCUGUCCCAUGCUAUAACACGGUCUGAGCGAGUGCAUAGAUCUGAAUCUAUAAAAUAUUUUAUAUGCUCUCUUUCUUAACCAUGUUCCUUGAGCUUGAGUUGUUUAUCAGAAUCUGCUUUUUUUUCUAACCAUCUUUUUGACUUGCACACAGUUUAGUUGCCUGUUUUCACCACACCCAUACGUUGUGCUGACAGGGCCUUGUGUUUUUUUCAGCAUAGUUUUCCCAUCUGGGGCGUGUGCUUGUUAUUGUAGUAGGAUAGAUAAAAUACCUACGUAAAGACGUAUUCGGGCCAAACUGAGCGUAUUCCCAGAUUUAUGGCUUGUUAGAGUAGGAGGGAACUGAGAGGUCUUUGGAGCCAAAACCUCAGCUUUGCAGAUGAGACAAGAGGGACUUAGAGAAGGGACUUUGGGGCAAGAGGGACUUACACAAGAGGGGCUUCCUGGGCAUUAUGGAGCUCAUGAUUCAUCAGGGGAACAAAUGCCUUUAGAAGGGAACAGCUACCAACAAAAGAAACCCUAGACUGUCUUCCUGGGUUAAUUUAGAAUUCUUUACUGGCAAUAACUAGGGCCAUUGGAAGUACAGAAAAUUAAACACAUUAUCUUGUUUCUCUGAACUAAUAAGAAUAUUCUUCAAAUUGGAAAAACAGUAUCCUUUUGCAGAUUGCAAAUCAGAAGACAUCUAUCCAUAACAGGCAGCUUUACUGGAUGUUCAAAUUUCUUUUGAAGGUGUACAGUAGGUAUGACUACAAAUAAAAUUUUUCCUGUUUUGCAUCCUUAAUGUGCCUACCAUGCUGACCACCCCCUAUCACUCACUGCCUACCUUCCCUGCCUCCGCCCCUGACUCCAGCCUAAACACCCAUUGCAAAGGCAUCCUCAUUGCUUGUUUUCAGCUGGCUUUUGUUCUGGUCUCAUGUCAGCCCAUCUCCGAAUGCUUGGCUUGGCAACCUUAAACUCCAUUUCUGCCUGUGGUUCUUAGACUUGGUGUUUGGCCUUGGUCUCCAUGGAGUUUGAAUUUUGUUCUGUUCAGUAGAUGAGGAAACAAAGGCUGAAUGAGAACAGCAGCAAGUCUGAGCUUGCAAGGGGAGGCAGAAGCUCUUCUAGUUGGGAUUUCUUGAUACAGGGACCAUUCCAUUCAUCACAGAAUCACACUGACAAGAUGUGAACACAAAGGGAGGCUCUGCUAUGUCAAGGACCAGUGAGUAUAUUCUGAGCAGAUUGCCUGCCUUAAGGAAUAGUGUCCUUUACCAAUACCGGUGAGAGGCAUGGGACUUCCCUCAAAGGAACACCCUACCACAUGUUCAGAACUUGCCAUUUUCGGAUUCUCGGCCACUCAGCAUUCUCCAGCCACUCUCUACUCUUCUUCUUCACUGAUCUUAUUGCCCAUACCCGUGGUGCACACACCUUGCUCCUCUGAGCAAGCACACUAUUCACCUUCUAUGACCUGGGUUUCCCUUCUGACUUUACUUUUGUUUCUCCUGAGCAGUUUGAUCACCAAGCUUUCAGUUAAUAAUCCCUUUUUCACUUCUAGAAACUUCUUCCCGGACACCUCCCAUUCAGGCAACAUUUCACUCCACUCCUUUUGGAUGGAUUCAGGAAAGUGUAUAAAUUGUUCCUGAAUCAAGCAAAUUGCAGAUACUCUUUAGAGGAGUAUCCAAAUCUAAGGUUGGCUGGCAGCCAGUUUGUGAAGUCCUAGAGGAUAACAGCUUAUUGUCUAUAAACGCCUGUUUUAAAGUUUCCCUAUUCGGUUCUGGCAGUACUUGUGAUGCAGAGGAUAUUUAUAAGGCUGUGAAGAAAGGUCAUAUGUUGGGUGUUUGCUGCACUGAGUAGCCCAAGAGAUUUUAUUUUUUCGUUCAACAGCUCUUUGUUGCUGUAGAUGACCAAAACAUUGACUCCUCUUUCACUUUUUGCUGAAAAUUUCAAUGUUUUCUGAAAGCUUUGAUAUCUGACUUGUUGAGUGGUUUGGAAUGGCCCAUUGCAAUCUUAGGUAUAUCCUGAAAAUAUAAAUAAAUAAUAGGAAAACGUAUUUAGUCAAAUUUGGCACUUCAAAUUCAUAGGCAACAAUAUCUUGGUAUUAGGAAGCAACAAUGUCUUCAUAUAUUUAGGCUUCUCUUCUGUAAAAAAUGACCUCCAUAUUUAAGAGGAAAAGCUGCUUUCAACAACUUCAAUGAAAGGGUGAUUUUUUUGCAUCUUAAAAAGCUCAUUCAAACCAGCAUAUUAAUGAUUUAUGAACAAAUGACGGGAGACUAUAUGGGAUUACAUUCCUUUUGAACUGUACAAAGUUGCAAAAAGCUUAGAGAAAAAGAACUUGGUUCAAGAUAAAUGUUUGUUGAAUUGAUUUAUUGAACCCUUCUAAAUGCUUUGGAU
rnacentral:lncRNA from 1 species